UACGUAGGUGACCAGCGUUGUCCGGAUUUACUGGGCGUAAAGAGCGCGCAGGCGGUCGUUCAAGUCGAGUGUGAAAGCCCCCGGCUCAACUGGGGAGGGUCACUCGAUACUGAUCGACUUGAAGGCAGGAGAGGGAAGCGGAAUUCCCGGUGUAGUGGUGAAAUGCGUAGAUAUCGGGAGGAACACCAGUGGCGAAGGCGGCUUCCUGGCCUGUUCUUGACGCUGAGGCGCGAAAGCUAGGGGAGCAAACAGG
rnacentral:rRNA from 1 species